rnacentral:rRNA from 1 species
AUUGAACGCUGGCGGCAGGCCUAACACAUGCAAGUCGAGCGGAGCGGCGCACGGGUGAGUAAUGUGUGGGGAACUGCCCGCUAGAGGGGGAUAACUACUCGAAAGAGUGGCUAAUACCGCCUACUAUCUGAGCGGCCCAUAUGGGAUUAGCUCGUUGGUGGGGUAAAGGCUCACCAAGGCAACGAUCCGUAGCUGGUUUGAGAGGACGACCAGCCACACUGGGACUGAGACACGGCCCAGACUCCUACGGGAGGCAGCAGUGGGGAAUUUUGGACAAUGGGGGAAACCCUGAUCCAGCCAUGCCGCGUGUAUGAUGAAGGCCUUCGGGUUGUAAAGUACUUUUGGCAGAGAAGCGGUAUCUGCAGAAGAAGCACCGGCUAACUACGUGCCAGCAGCCGCGGUAAUUC